AAAACUUUUUUAUAAAAGGUUUUAUUUUUGUUAAAAUAAUUUUUAUAGUUUUAUAUUAUAUAUUAUUUUUGAUUUCUAAAAGAUUAAAUUGUAGUGGUAUUUUUUGCUGGUCAAAUUAUUUUGGAGGCAGUGAAUUUUUUAUUUCUGGUUAAUUUCGUGCCAGCAUCCGCGGUUAUACGUUUAUAGGGGGAAAAAUUAUUGUUAGUUAAUAGUAUUAUUUUAAUUUGUUAUGCUUUUUUUUUAAUUUUUAGGUGAAAUUAUUUUUAAUUUUAAUGUAUUUUAUUUUAUUCUAUGAAAUCUAGAUUGUAAACAAGGAUUAGAUACCCUUUUAUAUUAGGUGUAAUUUUUUACUUGGGUAGUACUAGUUAUGUUCUUGAAACUUAAAAAAUUUGGCGGUAUUUUAUUCUUUCCAGAGGAACCUGUUCUUUAAUUGAUAAUCCACGAUUUUAUUUACUUAUAUUUGUAAGCAAUUUUUAUAUCUCCGUCAUAAGAAUAUUUUGUUAGAAUAAAUUUUCUUGGUUAUUUAAGGUUAAAAUGUCAGGUCAAGGUGAAAUUUAUGUAUAAGUAGAAAUGGGUUACAAUAAUAUUAUUUAUAUGGAUAGUAUGUGUUAUAUUAUAUUUGAAGGUGGAUUUGGGAGUAAAAAAAUUUUUAUUAAUUUUUUGAUUUUAGCUCUAAAAUAUGUACAUAUCGCCCGUCGCUCUCAUAAUAAUUUGAGAUAAGUCGUAACAUAGUAGAUGUAUCGGAAGAUGUAUCUAGAAUUAA
rnacentral:ncRNA from 1 species